rnacentral:rRNA from 1 species
GAUGAACGCUGACAGAAUGCUUAACACAUGCAAGUCUUUGGCGAAGCUGUGCUUGCACAGCCUAGCCAAGGCGGACGGGUGAGUAACGCGUAAGGAACUUGCCCUGCAGUCAGGGAUAACAGACGGAAACGACUGAUAAGACCUGGUAAAGUCAGGCGGACUCAUGUCCAGCCUGAUGAAAAGAGAUGCUGCAGGAGAGCCUUGCGUCCUAUUAGCUUGUUGGUGGGGUAACGGCCCACCAAGGCGAUGAUAGGUAGCCGGCCUGAGAGGGUGGACGGCCACAAGGGGACUGAGAUUCGGCCCUUACUCCUACGGGAGGCAGCAGUGGGGAAUAUUGGACAAUGGGGGCAACCCUGAUCCAGCAAUUCUGUGUGCACGAUGAAGGUUUUCGGAUUGUAAAGUGCUUUCAGCAGGGAAGAAAAAAUGACGGUACCUGCAGAAGAAGCGACGGCUAAAUACGUG